GUUCUUAUCUCCUCCUUCUUCUUCUGUUCUUCUUCGUUUUCUUCUCUGUCGAAUUCAAUUCAAAGGAUUAAGUUAAAUCUCGUGAGUAGUUAUUAGGAAACUUGUUAACUUAGUUGGUUAGAUACGAAGGUGAUGGUGGUGUGUUUGUUUGAGCACGGGAAGAUGAUGAUAGGGUUGCUGCUGUUAAUUGAAGUUGGGGUUUUAGUUUGAGAUGAAGAAAUCAAGAGGAGAUGUUGAAUCAGUUGAGAACCUUGAUGAUUGAUAGAGGUGGUGUUGAUUAGGGUUGAUGUUUCAGAAUCGAGGAAAAAGAUUUACGCGUGGGCGGAUUGGGGGCUCUCCACUGUGUAAGCACUUUGAUCGCAUAUAAUGUUGUUACCAUUAGAUCUCUUUAGAUACUUGAUAUGUAAAGUGCGCGUCGAAUAAGGUACUGGUAAGGUACAUAUAGUUUAUGACUUGAGGAAGGAAACCUCAUGGGCGCUUUAAUGAUCAUUGAAGAAUCCGCAACAGUCAUGCCUUGCUACUCCGAAGGAAGACGUCGCUCAACUACUAUUUAUGUUGUGAAUGUGUACCGGUUUAUUGGUUGGUAGAACUUUAUAAUUUCAGUAUUACUAUUAUAUUAAUAAGCUUUAUAUGUUUUCCGUGUUUUAUCGGUUUUCAGUAAAACCUGCAUUGUCUUUAAAUCAUUCUAGUGAUUACUUGAAAGUUAGUUGUUAUUUCUACGGGGCACCCCUUUUAGGGAUGAUGUGCUCACCCAUUCCCACUUUCAGUUUCAGAAACAUAUCAAGCCGCGUACGUGGCGAUAAAAGCUUCGAGAAGUUGGUUUGGUUUCGUUAGUUGGUUAGCUUCCGCUAUGUUUAUUUUGUGUUUAUAUUCCAUUUGUAAACCAACUCAUUAUUAAAUAUGUAUCACUUGAGAGGAGUUUUUGUAUGUAUUUCAGAGAGGGUUUAGUUUCGGGUUAAUUUUUGUUUAGAAAUUCUUUCUUAAUGUUUAAAUAGAUGUUUUAGAUCGUUA